UGCUGGGAUUACAGGUGUGAGCCACUGCUCCCGGCCAAGAGUUUUGUCUUUAAAGGAGUUGACGGUGGGGUGUGGACUGUGCAGCCGAGACAGCUCGCGGGGUGAGUUAAGAGUCUGCCUGGAUUCCAUUCCCCAGCCCCGCCACACACUGUCCAUGAAGCAAGUGACUGUCCCUUCCCAAGCCUCAGCUUCUGCACUUUAGAACGGGGACCGUUGUCCGCGGCAUUCCCACAGGUUAGCGUGAGACCCUGUUGAGCCCACGCAGCAGGGUGUGCCUGUUGUCUGUGGUAAGGGGCAGACGGCGUUGCCUACUUUCCACUCGUAAGAUGUCACUGCAUGUACGCCGUUCUCACUUGGCAGAUGAAUCAAAGGGCUAUAAAUAGCCACGUCUUGGUUUCUCAUAAACGCAUUAAAUACGACUUGGCAUCUUGCCCAGGCUUCCUGUCGGGGCAGUGGACGAGGAUUGUUUUGCAGAGGUCUGAUAAGUGUCAAGGUUACAGUCACGUGCAGGUGCAUGGGGACUCUGGACCCCCGCUGCCUGGGUUCAAGUCCCAGCUGCUCCGUAGGGGACCUCAGGCUUGUCUAUGCUCUCAGUACCUCAAUUUCCCCCUCUGUGAAAUGAAGAUAAUGCCUCCUAGGGCCUACAUCAUAGAGCUGCUGGAAGGAUUCAAUGGAUGUUGAUCAUGAUCAUGAUCAUGAUUUCCUGAUACUCAGAAUAACGCCAGGCACAGACUAUCCGCUCUGAAUAACGGUUUGCUAUUAUUAUUUUUCUGCUAGUGAUAGUUAAGAGCAAGGACUCUAAAGCCAGCACAGUUGGGUUCAACACCCAGCUCCACCACUUGCAACCAAUGUAACCUUAAACCUGGAUAUCAUCUCUCUGUGUCAGAGGCAUGUGAACCAGAACAACUCCAUUUUAAAUGGGGUUGGGUAAAAUGAGGCGGCAUUCCCAGACGGUUAGGCAUUCUAACUCUUAGGAUGACCAAUAGGAGAUCAGCACAAGAUACAGGUCAUAAAGACCUUGCUGAUAAAACAGGUUGCAGUAAAGAAGCUGGCCAAAUCCCACCAAAACCAGAGUGACCUCUGUCCUCACUGCUACACUCCCAUCAGCGCCAUGACAGUUUACAAAUACCAUGGCAACAUCAGGAAGUUACCGUAUAUGGUCUAAAAAGGGGAGACAUGAAUAAUCCACCCCUUCUUUAGCGUAACAUCAAGAAAUAACCAUAAAAAUAGGCAACCAGUGGCCCUUGGGGCCGCUUUGUCUAUUGAGUAGCCAUUCUUUAUUCCUUUACUUUCUUAAUAAAGUUGCUUUCACUUUACUCUAUGGAAUUGCCCUGAAAUUCUUUCUUGUGCUAGAUUCAAGAACCCUCUCUUGGUGUCUGGAUCUGGAUCCCUUUCCUGUAAUGUCUGUGCCUCAGUUCUUUCAUCGGUCAAAUGGGAGUGAGGAUUAUUUGUACCUUAUAGGGUGUAAUAAGGAUAAAAUAAGCAAACACCUGCCAAGUACUGAGACAAGAGCCUGGCACACAGUAAAUACUCCAAUGUUGUUGCUACCGUUGAUGUUCUUAUUACAAGGGGAUGUGCUCACCCCCUAUCAAGGUUGCUAAGCAGCCAUGAUGGAAUCCUGGAGCUACUGAAGGACACCUCAUCUCUUCAUGGGAAGCAUCUGCUUGAGGAUUAAGGUGAUGCAGAAAAAAAGUGGAGUAGAGAGAUGGAGGAAGAUGACUUUGGAGGACAUUGUGUGAGCACCUGGAUCUAACCGUGCCUGAAGCACAACUCAAACCCUGGACUCUCAAUGUAUUGGCUCUCCAUUCCAAGACCCAAUAAAUUCCUUCUCAGCUUAGAAUGCUUUGCUCAGAUAUCUGUUACUUCCAGGCAAAUGUAUUUUAAUACAGAAAGCUCUUGGGGGCUCAAAUAACAGAAAGGGAAGCUAUGUGAGAAGCCGAAGGAAGCCAAAGAGAGGAACAGAAGUGAUGCAGCUGGGUAUGGUGACUCAUGCCUGCAUCCCAGCUCUUUGAGAGGCUGAGGUGGGUGGAUCACUUGAGGUCAGGAGUUCGAGACCAGCCUGGCCAACAUGGUGAAACCCUGACUCUACUAAAAAAAUACAAAAAUUAGCCAGACGUGGUGGCAUGCAUGUGUAAUCCCAGCUACUCAGAAGGCUUAGUCAGGAGAAUCACUUGAACCUGGGAGGCGGAAGUUGCAGUGAGCCAGGAUCAUGCCAUUGUACUUCAGUCUGGGUGACAGAGCAAGACUCCAUCUCAAAAAAAAAAAAAAAAAAAAAAAAAAAAAAAAAAAA
rnacentral:lncRNA from 1 species